ensembl:rRNA 5S_rRNA 5S ribosomal RNA
UCCAAUAGACAAAAACAUGGUAGGCGACAUCUAAUGUAUGUAUCUAUGACUGAAGCUAAGCAGGGCUGAGCCUCAUCAGUACUUGGAUGGGAGACCACAUGGGAAAACUAGGUUGCUGUUGGAU